GACAGGCUGGCACAGGUGCCAGCACGGCAGACAGAGGCAGGUGAGCAGGCAGGAUCUGAUCGGCUGGCACAGACACCGGCGUAGGAUGGCAGUGGCUUCAUUCACAGGGUGAUGAAGAGGAGAAGCUGGUUUGUCGCCACGCACUGCUCAGAUAAUGGCGGAAGCAAAGGCUCCUCUCAGCUCUAGGCAAACGGAAGCUAGGGACUGGGUAUGCUGAGGCUGGUGUCUGCACGCGCCGGAGGGGGCUGGGCUUCAGGACCCUGGACAGCGCCUCUGCCGCACCCGAGCACCAGGACCAGUGCUGAGGACGAUUAGGGAUGACAUUCGCAGGGUGGCUGGAACACAGACAACAUGAUAAGAGUGAGCGCUGGUCCCUGGCAUUGGAGGUGUCAGCAUCUGCUCUUCUGUCUCCCGUCUGUACUUGACAGGAGCUUGAGGAAGGCCUCUGAGUCUCUAGGCAGCGAGGCACAGGGACCAGAGCAUGCACCCUCACAAAGUAAGGUGAGCAGGAAAGGCAGCCAGGUGGACAGGCUGCCCCCUGCGCUUAGGGGACAAGCCCCGAGGGCACUGCCAGGCCCCACUGCACAGGAAAUGUGCAAAGUUUCCAAAUGAGAAGUGGAUUCAUUAGGGCUCUACAGGAAAACACAACCAACAGAAGGUAUGCAGGGAGAAGAGAGAGUGAGGGAGUAGGGUGGGGAAGGAAGGGAGGGGAGGAAGAACAGGAGAGGGAAGAAGAGAGAUUUUAAGGCAUCGGCUCAUACAACUAUGGUUGGCAGUCUAAAAUCUGCAGGUCAGGCCAGCUAACUGGGAAACCAGAGAACUGAUAUUAUAGCUCAAGUCUGGAGGGUGUGGACACAGAAUUUCUUCUUCAUCAGGGAACCUCAGUCUUUUAAGGCUUUUACCUGGUUGGGUAAGGCCCACUCACAUUAUGGAGGGUUAUCCGGUGUCCUCAUUGUCUGAUUUAAAUGCUAAUCACAUCUAAAAAUACCUUCUCAACACCACUGGAUCCCACGGCCUAGCCAAGAUGGUACCUACAGGUAACUAUCAUGGAAGGUGUCUAC
rnacentral:lncRNA from 1 species